UGGGGAAUCUUCCGCAAUGGACGAAAGUCUGACGGAGCAACGCCGCGUGAGUGAAGAAGGUUUUCGGAUCGUAAAACUCUGUCUUUUGGGGCGAACGUGAGUAUGGUGAACAAUCAUAGUCAGUGACGGUACCAAAGGAGGAAGCCACGGCUAACUACGUGCCAGCAGCCGCGGUAAUACGUAGGUGGCAAGCGUUGUCCGGAAUUAUUGGGCGUAAAGAGCGCGUAGGCGGGAUAGUCAGUCUGUUGUAAAGUGCGGGGCUCAACCCCGUGAUCGCAAUGGAAACAGCUAUUCUUGAGUGCAGGAGAGGAAAGUGGAAUUCCCAGUGUAGCGGUGAAAUGCGUAGAUAUUGGGAGGAACACCAGUGGCGAAGGCGACUUUCUGGACUGUGUCUGACGCUGAGGCGCGAAAGCCAGGGGAGCGAACGGGAUUAGAUACCCCGGUAGUCCUGGCCGUAAACGAUGGGUACUAGGUGUGGGAGGUAUCGACCCCUUCCGUGCCGGAGUUAACGCAAUAAGUACCCCGCCUGGGGAGUACGGUCGCAAGACUGAAACUCAAAGAAUUGACGGGGUCAUAGCUGUUUCCUG
rnacentral:rRNA from 1 species